GAAAUAUCUUAGAGAUCAUUAGUUCAGAAUUUGGUUCCUAAUCUUUUAUUACAAAGAAUUCCUCAGAAGUCUUUUCUAUUUAUGAAGUUGACACUUUGUUCUGAAAAAUCUUACAUGUCUGCAAUAUGUAUUAUUGCUUGAUUUCUUCAUUAUUGAUUGAUCCAAAAAUCUACACUGCCUAUUGGUCUCUUAAUUACGUAUGAGGUAGCCUUUUAAGGGGAGACCUAGAUCACAUAUGAAAAGGAAAACUGGUCAUAGCUAGGAGUCUAAGAGAGACAUGCAGAAGCUGUUCUCUUUUUCACUCACACCUUGCAUGGCCCCCAUUUCCAUAUUGACCACUCUGUGCAUUUUUGCAGAAAGCUACCUGCCCAAUCCCUCUAGCAUUAGCAUUAAUUAUUUUUUUGCUCUUUGGUGUAUAGCCUCCUCUGGAAUAUGUUGCAGGUCUUCCUGAAGCCAUCAUGUCAGCAGGGACCCUAUUCCUUGCUUUCCUGAUCUGCUCUUUGGGGCUAUUUUUAGGAGCAAGACUUCAAAUUCUGAUCCACACUUCUCUCUGGCUUGGAUCCCUGAGGCCCAAAGCCCAGCUGUGCUCUGUGUUAAUACACUCAGUUCCAGUACCUCCCCUCACACAGGCAUUUGUACUUUGAGGAAGCUCCAAAGUACAAGAAAUUCUUUGAACUGAAAAUUCCAAAGAUGUAAGGCUAUCAAGGGUCCAUGGAGAGAGCUUUGAUGGAAGAUGACAGGAAAACUGGGCUCCACUUCCUACUGUACGCUCACAGGCUGCACUGAACAAGUCACUUCAUUCUCCUCUGAGGUAAGGUCACUAAAAUCUAGAAUUUUUGAAUUUAAUAGAGAACAGAAAUCCAUUUCAGAUUAAUGAGCCAAAACAAAACAAAACACUACAAAGUGUUUUUGAGAAGAGUCUGAAGCAAAAUACUCUCUGUAAAUCAAAUAUAUGGAAACGUACAAACAUUCAAUGCAACAAACACACUGGAGAGGAGAGUGAAGAGGAAGAGAAAUUAUUCUAAAAGGAAAUAAACAAAGCACAUGGAGGACUUUGCA
ensembl:lncRNA